UGCUUAAAUUUCUAGCUAGGAUGAGAGCUUGGUUGAUGGAAUUUUCCCAACCUGAGGCAAACAUCAUGAUAUAUGCAUAGCUAGUGGCAUGUAUCUACGAUUGAAUAGAACCACCACUGGGUGUGUAUUUGGAAUGGAAGACAUUGGGAUUUGAUGUACAAGAUAUAAGAUUGCAACUCUAGAUGGCAUGAUGCUCCUCUUUCGUGAGCCAUAGCAGUUGCAUGCUUGGGAGGCCCAUCUCUGAUUCAAUGGGGAAUAUUUCCAAUGCCAAUGGUUAAAUGUAAACAAGUUUUGGAAUUUUGAUUAUUCUGUAUACGAGUGUCAGUGGCUCUGUGGCAUAUUG
rnacentral:lncRNA from 1 species